rnacentral:lncRNA from 1 species
CCUCAGUCCUAUUAAUAACACCUUUCAUUUGUAUGAUGCAUUGCAUUUAGACUUCAAAGCCUAUCUACAUUCAUCAUUGUCUCCUUUAAUCCCAACAAAAACGCUGUGAGGAAUGCAGGUUGGCCUUUGGGGCUCAUGACUCCGGAACAGGAAUAGCCACCGAAGUUGUCUCCCAGGACAAUGGCCAGAGAGCAGAGGACCGCUAGAUUUCAUAGGGCAGGGGAGCCAGGGUCCAAGAAAGCAAAGGAUCUGUGAUCCUCUGGUAUUAUUCCUGGUCUGCGCUGCCUCUAGGCAUUUUGGAGCAGUUGGACAGAAGGUCUCCGUUCAAAUCCUGCCUCUAACACAGAGACUCUGACUCUUUGACCCAGCACAAAUCACUCCGACUCUCCAAGACAGUAAGUUCCAGGACAUUUGCUGAUCUGUAUGGGGAGAGGGCAUGUCUCCACCUGUGAAGUACCCACACUGAUGAAAUCACCCCUUCCAAGGUUGUUGUGAGAUAGUGGUAUAUGGAAAACACUUCACAACUGAGAGCCCUAUUAUAGAAAUGAUUGCUAUUAUUAUCCUACUACAGUCUUACAAAUGUAAUUACUUAAUUGUACUCUUGAGUUUCUCCCUGCUGGCUAGAUUGUAAGUUACUUGAGGUCAGGACCAUGGCUUACCCUUCUUUUGCAUUAUUCCACAGUGCCUAAAGCGGUGCUGAACAUAGAGUUUAGAGCUUGAAUUGGCAAAGGAGACGUGAUAGUGUCCAUGUGCUAACUCCCUCCUCUAAAUUAGCA